rfam:Helobdella robusta unplaced genomic scaffold HELROscaffold_318, whole genome shotgun sequence.
GUGGGGUACGGAGACAUGACCCCAAAAACUUAUUUGGGGAUGUUCGUCGGGUCCAUUUGCGCUCUGACAGGCGUGCUCACCAUCGCCCUACCAGUCCCCGUCAUCGUCAGCAAC